GACCGUCCGCGGGAAUUUGAAGUGGCUGAAGGGGCGGCUGGGAGACUAAGACUUGAGGCCGCGCGCAGCGGAGCGGCGGAGGAGGCACCAGCGCCUGAGAGGAAGGUGAACGCCCGCCGGGCCGGGCCAGGAGCCGCCUCCGAGCGAGGCCGGAGCGUCGGGAUCCUCUGGGAACGGCUUGGGCCGGGCCGGCCUUGCGCGGCCGGUAUCCCUCUUAGGACGUCCGGCUCGGGAGGGACCCGGGGCAGGGCUCCCCUCUCAGCUUCCCGGAGACUGCAGGGGGCUGGGCUGCGCCAGGGGUUCCCCACCUGGGUGGGCUUCAAGGAACUGCCGCGAGCUGUGGAGCGAGGGCUCACUUUUCCAGCUGCAUCUCCGCGGAGAUCUGAGCCAUUCGUUCUCGGGAAGGAAAGGGCAGCCCUGGGCCUACGCAGCUGUCCUGAGCGCCCAGGGCAGGGCGGCCCCAAGUCAGACGAGCAACCUGCGGACGGGGUCCAGAAAUGGAACCGGGUCCCCUCGUUCUCGGUCAUUUCUGCCUCUUCACUCGUCAGGGAGGUACUUUUUUUUUUUUUUUUUUAAACCCCCGACACUUUAAACUGGGUCACGUUUUUACUUUAACACGUUCAGUUGUAUUGUGUAGUGGAAAGAGGCCCGGCGAGGUGAGAAGGCCUAAGUGUGACUUUAAUUCCACCGCUGUGUUUCCAGCUGGCAGAACUCGCCGGGCCACAGUUUUCCCAUCUGAAGACGGAGCUAGUGGCUGUCCUUGUGGUGAAGACGCAGUGAAACAAUGCAAGAAAACUGAGGCACAGAGAGAUUGUCACGCAGCCAGUAAGGUGCUAUGCCCUCUAAGGUUCAUGCGUGUCAGUGUUUGUGAACAGCACGUGCUUUGGUCAUCUCAUCUGUGGAAUCAGGUUUCUUUCAAAAUGAAGAUUCACACAGUGAUUGUAACUGUCGUGAUAAGCCAGGUUCUAGUUUACAUAGUUUUAUUCCAGAAGGAAAAAAAGCCACUUUACCUAGAAUUUUCCAACCAAAUCAACUUUUGCUCUGAGUAAUCCAGGGCCUAUCAAGACUACAUUUUAGCUGACUGCAAGGCCUCUGAGGCAAGGGAAUUCACAGCUGAGUUCUUGGAGAAGGUCCUUGAGCCAUCUGGAUGGCGGGCAGUCUGGCACAUAAUGUGCUCAAGGUGCUGCUUGAGGCCACAGAUAUGUGGACAUUUCAGCCUUGAAGGCAGUGGUGCAGCUUGCUGAGCCAUACCUCUGUGAAUCUUGACUGAGUACUUUGAACUUGGAGUGUAUGAAAGAGCUCCUUCAGCUGAAGGAACAUCAGUUGCCCCUGCAGAAGCUGAGUGGUGGUGAUUCUGCAGUGUUUGACCAGACAGCACUUACAACUGAGCAUAUCAGGUUGCUGGCCUAGAAAUAUAUCCCGGGAGUAAGUGUUCCCGGAGUGACAAUGGACCCACCGUUACAAGGAAGGAUUCCUCAUUAAGCUGAACAUUGGCCGAGACACUGCUAUUUAAGGGUUGGAAUGAUUUCACCUAAGAAAUUAUGCUUUAUACAUUCCCGUGCUGAGUCCUAUUGUUUUCUGAUUUUGAAAGGCCUAAAUAUUAUAUAAAUUAUAAUAACAUCAAUAGUUAAUGAUUGAAAGUCUUUGGAAGAAUGCUUUGUUGCCCGUAGAUCUGCAGAAAUGAUAGAGGAAUGCUGUGUCACACUGUGCUACAAUGAAUCAGCAUAGCUUUUCUGCUCUAUUUUUAGAAUAGUGUGAAAAAAGCCAAGAUUUUUUAAGAAGACAGUUCCUUGAAACAUUUGUUUUCAGUGUCACAGGUCUUCUUAGAAAAUAAAGCACUUAACAUUCAGAGAAGUGGAAAGGCAGAUGUAGCUGAAAGAGUAGAUCCGAGGAGCAGAUUCCAUGUGCACCUGCCAAAACAGAGCUUUAUACAAGACCUGACCUUUCUGAGCAAGUUGAAGGCAAUUGUAAAGGAACUGUUUUCUGCCUUUACACAAAACAGCCAGAUGAAGAAGGAAAGGCAAAUUCCUCCGCCCAUACUUGGACCUGGCAACCAUUGAUGUGCUUUCUGUCACUAUAGUUUGAAUUACAUAGAAAAGAAAUGAGUCGGAUCAGAUGAUAAAACCAAAUUGCAGUGGAGAUGGAUGGAAGACGUGGGAAUGGCUCAACAUCAUGAUGGAGAGUUGCAUGUUGGUCACAUGGAGGCAAAUGGAUUUUUAAUAAGGAAAAAUAAUUACCAGUGAGUGAAGUAUCUGACUUUCCUGAAGAGUUAAGCCACCUGAGACCAGAAUGAGCAACAGCUGGCAAACAUUUUAAUCAAGGGAAGACAGCCACUCUGCCCUCCAAAGAAGGAACUCUUUAAUCAAGCCCUAUUGCCUUGUUUAUCAGGGGAAAUAAGAAACGAUUUGGCCACUGAGAGUAACUGCAGCAGCUUCGGAGAAGGCCAGCCAUGUGUGAAGAGACUGGCGCACCUGAGAAGCGAGGCAGAAGCCUGGGAACGUUUUAGGACCAGAUGCCACCCAAACCAUAGGACAGUGUCUCAUCGUUUUGUUCAGUCUGGUGUCGGACUCCUGGGCUCAUCAGAUCCUGCUGCUUUGCCCUCCUAAAGUGCUGGGAUUACAGACACCGUGCGAAGUGCAUUUUCCAGACCUUUCAUUGUUGUUGGGGAACUUCAGAACGUCAGCGUGCAUAAAAGUGUGGAUUUGACUGGAGAAGAAUUGUUCCUCUGUGAUCCUUGCCCACCCAGCACCCAGCUCUUCUUUCCUUGGAACAGCGCUGCCACGUCUCUUUCUCGAACCUUCCUCACUCGCUGAGGAGCAUCUUGGUGAGACUGUUAACCUGGUAUGGCAUAUGACUCAAACAUGGACAAUUGCACCUAUUUCCUUGGGACUUUCAGUCUUGAGGGGAGAAUGCUAGAUUGCAAAACAUCAUACUAAAAAAAAAAACUAAAAAAUUGUAGAGAAUGCAGAAAAGAAUGGAUGCAGAGGGUUCUGUUAUUGGAAUGAACUCUGACAGAGUGUCAACUAUUUUCUACCACCCAACACGCUGCAUAGUUCCCAUGCUAAAUUUAACCUGCUCAGCUGAUCCUUUAGUUAACGUUAAGUAGAAGAAGAACUUGUUGGAAGGAUAGUGAGUUGCCCAGAGCCCGUUUUCUUUGUUUGUAAUCAGACAACCUUGACGGAUACCGCCCUUAAAGAAGCACAGUUGUAGUGGCUGGAAGUGUAGGGUGUGCUUUACUAUUUAACAACGAAAGCUGAAACCUUGCAGGCUCUGCGCCUAAGAUCCCAUUGAGUCAGAGAAAAGUUCUGCAGCAAACCUCCUGAGAUAACUCCCCGGAACAGGAAGAUAACUUCAAAGCUUAGUUUAUUUCCAUACAAAUUGAAUUUUAAGUUCUUAUCAGGGUAACAGAAACAAAAAAUCAUGUCAUACAGACACAUUUGGGGUAGCCUGGUUAAUUCCUUCUUCUUUUGAAACAGCUACAUUAUCAAGAUGAUGCUUCACUGCCUGUUAGACUCGCUUCUGCUUGGAAGCAGAUGAAUCGAUUUUGAACUUCUUCUGUGAUAUGCUUAGUGCUUUGUCAGUAAAAUUACUGUAAUAUCUUAUACCAUCUGUCAUAUUCCCUUCCCCCAACAGGAGCCAUCUCCAGCCACUAAGUUCUCAGGCUGAAUUUCAAUCUUCAGCGUGAUCACUAUGCAAGCCUGCAUUCUGUGGUGCUCUGCUGGCCCCGGCUGGGGACAGGGGCGAGAAGUGGGUAGUGGCCCGGUUUUUAAUUUUCACACUCAGAGAAGAACCAUGAGCCUGAAUGGUUCCUGGGCUGGAGCAUUGAUGAACUGAGGUGGUUCUUUGCAAAUAUCCCUGUCCUUAGAGGCCUAAUAAAAUGUAAGGGGGUAUCAAAAAACUGAGCAAUUAAAGACAAACAAUAUUGAAAAAAUCACAAUUAAUGCAAAAUCCAUAAUGAACCAAAUCUCACAUAUUUAAAUAAAGUUGGCAUCAGCGACAGCACUGUGCUGAGCCAUAUUGGCCCCUAGGCAGAAGGAACAGUCUGUGAGCUGCUCCCUGUGCCCCUGCCUGAUCUUUCUCUGCCCUUUUCCCACUGCAGCACUGGAGCUUCCAGCUCUGUUUAACCCGCAGACCUGGACUGGCACAGGUGGCUCAGAGGUGGUCUUUGACGGCAAGCCCUCUGAGGCUUUGUACCACUGUGGAUGCUCCACCUCAUUUAUAAAUGCUAGUUGAACUAGAUAAGAAAUACUGAGUUAAUUUCAUUUUUUUUCCCUUUACAUUUUAAAUACAUGAAGAGACCAAAAUGACGUUUGAGUAUGGCUGUUGAGACAGGUGUAAUUUAGUUCUUGUUCCCAUUUGGGUAUCUACCUCUUACUCUGGCGUUUUAAAGGUUUCUCUUUGUCCUUAAUAUUCCCAAAUAUUAAUGUAAUAUUUCUGAAACUCUUGGCCUCAAGUGAUCCUCCCACCUCGGCCUCCCAGAGUGCUGGGGUUACAGACAUGAGCCACCACAGUGGGCCUAUAUUUUCCUACAUGAAUUUUUAAAAAUCUUUGCUUUUUGGCACUCUGUGAGUUCUGUUGAUAUGUCAUCAUAGAGUCUUGAAUAUUUCCUUUGUUCUUGGAAUUUUUCAGUCUUUUUUUUCAGAACGUAUUCCAUCUUCUCUAUUUCUUUUGUCUCCCCAGGGAGGUCUUCUGUUCUAUGUAUAUUGAUUCUUCUAAUUCUCUGCUCUACAUCUUGUAAUUUUUACUUUUUUCUUCACUAUCCCUUUUCUAAGAGUUUAAGUCAGUGGUUCUGAAACUUGGCUGCACAUUAAAAUUACCAGGGGAAUGUUUACAACUUCAUACCCCAAGCUACUUACUUAAAGCUCUCUGGCCAUGAGGUCCCAAGCCUAAGUGCUUUUUAAAGCUCUCGGAUCACUCCAGUGUGCAGUCAAGGCUGAGAAUCACAUCACUGCUUCUCAGACUUGACUGUGCAUACACUUCACCCAGAAGUGUUAAAGGCACAUUCUGACUGAGGCAGUCUGGGAUGAGUUCCCAGGGGAUGCAGAUGCUGCUGAUCCAUGGGUCUUAUUUUGAACAAACACACAGCCUUCUGACUCACUGCCCAUCCACUAUACCAUCAACCGGUCUAUUAGCUAUAUAUUUCCAUCAUUCUCAUUUGCAUUCUCUGAAUUCCUAGUUAGGUCUUGUUUAUAAUGGCUUAGUCAGUAGCCCUUCAUAUAAUUUUGUGUUAUUAUGCUUGUUAUAAAUUCUUACUCUGAAUGUCAAAGGUAAACAAAGGUGGACACUGGUUAAAGUGGUGAGGCCAGAUUUUAAUCAGUAUUAACUAUUGCAACAGGGAAAAGAGUUUCUCAGGAACUGAACUCUUCUUUGCUUUGUGCUGCGGGAAACAGGUGUUUUAAAGAGAGAAGGGGAGCAGGGAUGGGAAAGCAGAAGCUUAGCCAAGUUAGGGAAGUGAAAAAUGCAGAGACUUUGUGUAAAUGCGACUAGGGCAGCUGUGGCUGAGGCUGAGGCUGGCAGUUAUUGAGGUAGGAUCCUGUCCUCCCUUAGAGAGCAGGAGACAGAGGCCCUAUAUUGUCUUCAGGUGUUGGCUGGAAAAAAAAACAGUAAAUCUUUUUGGCAGCCUUGAGUUUUCUCCAGCAGGCACUUUAAGCAGGCCCAGGGUCAUCCUAGGGAUAUGGCCUUGAGCCGUUAGAAACCCUGCGACGGGGCUGGGUGUGGUGGCUCACACCUGUAAUCCCAGCACUUUGGGAGGCUGAGGCUGGAGGAUCUCCUGAGAUCAGGAGUUCAAGACUAGUGUGGCCAACAUGGCAAAAUCUUGUCUCUAUUAAAAAUACAAAAAUUCACCGGUUGUGGUGGUGGGCACCUGUAAUCUCAGCUAGUAGGGAGGCUGAGGCAGGAGAAUCACUUGAACCCAAGGAGGUGGAGGUUGCAGGGAGCCGAGACUGUGCCAUUACACUCCAACCUGGGAGACUGAGCAAAACUCCAUCUCAGAGAGAGAGAGAGAGAGAGAGGAAGAAGAA